rnacentral:pre_miRNA from 1 species
UAGUUUUGUUCUAAGUCAAACUUCAACUUUGACCGAGUUUAUAGAAAAAUAUAUAUUAACAUCUACAAUACCAAAUAAAUGCACUAACAAUACAUGUUUCAUGGUGGAUUUAACGAAACUGAUAUGGUGUUGUAGAUGUUGGUGAAUUUUUCUAUAAAUCUGGUCAAACUUACUGAAGAUUGACUUAAGACAAAAAUAA